rnacentral:hammerhead_ribozyme from 1 species
GCACUGCUGACGAGUCCCAAACGCGACGAAACAGCUGUCCAGUGC